CAUACAAGAGUAGAAUCAGCAGGGGACAGAUGGGGAGAACCCUCCAACAAGAGAGAGCUGAAUGAGGUCAGAGCAGACCCCAUGCUCAAGGAUGUCUUUAGAUGGAAUAUGACUUGGUUGAGAGGGGCCAAUACAGGUGGGAGGUCUUAGGGAAAGUAUAGGUCCUCAGUGGCCCCUGUGAACAGGCUCGGAAGACAGGAGCACGGGGCCAGAGGUGUCAGUGGGAUAAGGGAGGACUACACGGUGUAAAGUAGAGGAAGAAGAGAGAUGCUAAAUCAAGGUAAGCGGCAUAACUCAAGGUGUGACGAGAACAGAUCUUGCAGCAUUGUGGGAGGGGCUAAAACGAGAGGGGGAGGGGUCAUCCCCAAGUGGGCGGGGCUUGACGCCCGAGUGGGCGAUGGCGCUCAGCCUUGAGGGGUGGUGCUUCUUGUGUAGAGAGGCGGUUUUGGAGUUAGACAUUAAGCCUGUGGUAAACCACAACAGCUCAUCAAGGUACGCGGGCACGCUAAACGUUGCUCCUUGUGGGCGAAGCCUUGAGCAAAAAUGGGCAGAGCUGGAAUUCCACACAACCCGCGCCGGCGCUGGAACUGAAGGCCAAAUUCCUGGAUACGGUCGAAGGACUCGACGAGGAAGACGUGCUCGUCCAGCGGGGGGGACGCCAUGGCGCGCAGGGAGGCCACGUCAGCGCGCUGAACCCCCACGGCGUAGAUCUCGAUGCCGCGGGCGCGCGCCUGCGCCGCCACUUCGGCCACGCGAUCCUGGGGUCGCCCGUCGGUCACGAUUACAGCGACGCGCGGCACGCGUGCCUCCGGCGGGCGCGCGCCCUCGGCCACACUGAAGGCCACGUUCAUAGCGUACUGGAUUGCCAGCCCGGUCAUGGUGCCCUGCGCCAGUGGCACUAGAGUGCGGAUGGCGCGCUCCAUAUCCUCGCGGCGUGAGAAGGUUCCGAGCGGGAAGACGCUCUGCACUUGACUCGAAUACUGGAUCACGCCGACGCGCGUGGCGUUGGGCCCCACGUCCAAGCUGCGGAGGAGGCUCACCAGGAACUGCCGCAUCGUCUGGAACUCGAAGGGGCGCACACUGCGCGAGCUGUCAAUCACGAACACCAAAUCCAGGGGCCCAGUACGGCACCUGGGACCUGCGAGGAGAUCAGGGAGGACUUUCCUAGGUUAGCCAAGCCUCACGUCCCGGGAGAACCCCACAGAAACCCAGGGCGGAAUGGUGCUCUCACGGUGUAACAGCGCCCAGCACAGUCUUAACCUAGCAAAUGCAGGUUAGCACCAUCCACUCACGCAGCAUUUGAGGAGGGCCUGGACUGGGAGACUGCACCAAAUCUCUAUCCUACAGCUCUGAGGGCUAUACUGAGGAGGUGUUAUCCACUUGCGAGGAGGGCGAGGGGACGUCGCAAACUCAAAUGCCUACAGGAGUUAGGCAGGCAAUAUAAAUAAAUAUAAAUAAAUGAGUGAAUGUGAUGGUUUAGGACGGAGGACCCAGAGAGCCUCUAUAGCUCAUAAAGUGGGCAGCUCCAGACAAAUGUUGCCUUGCAGCCGUGAGAUCUGCCAACCCCAUGUUGGCAGAUCUUGGGUCUUUUCAAGAGAAGCCCAAAAUUAGGGGUUUUAUGUGAAAUCUCCUGAUUUUUUUCAAUUAACUUAAAAAAAUUAAACACCAACUGGACAGUUCUGCAUGAGCCCAACUUGGGUACCUCCAAGCCACAUCCUACAGAUGGGAAAGCUGAGGCCCAGAGAGUUGAAGCUGUGAACUCGAACCCAAGCGCUAUGGUUCCAAAGCUCUUGUUUUGCUCUCCCCAGCAGGCAGUUGGCUGCAGAUGGAGAACCUGCUUUUGCUCCCCUCCCCCUGCUUCUGAGGGCUGGGUUCUGGCUCACCUGCGAACUGGAGCUGGGUUUCCCAGGGCUGGAGAAGGAGCAGGAACAUGGGCAGCUGCGAGCAUAGACGCCCCCUCAUCGCCCUCGGGGAACAGAGAACAGGGGUAUCAGAGCCUGAAGGGAGGAAGGAAAAUAGCAAAGCAGUAGAAUUUGCAGAGUUCUUAUUCUAGGUGAUGGGCAUUUUGAGGGGGAGGAGGGUCAUGGGUUUAUUUUACUAAUCUCUCUAGUUUUGUGUAUGUUGAAAUUUUUCGUAAUAAAAAAAUUUCAUCACGGUGA